AUAUCAUUAAGCGGAGGAGAAGAAAUUAACCAAGAUUGCCUCAGUAACGGCGAGUGAAGCGGCAAAAGCCCAAACUGGAAAUCUUCGUGCUCAGCACGACGAAUUGUAAUCUAAAGGAGGGAAACUCACCUAGGAGAGGCGCAGAAGUUGCUUAGAACAGCACGCCAAAGAGGGUGACAGCCCCGUAUGUGGUGCCUCUUCUUAACGAGUUCUUUUCUAAGAGUCGGGUUGUUUUGAAUUGCAGCCCUAAGCUGGAGAUAGACUUCUUCUAAGGCUAAAUAUAUAUGGGAGACCGAUAGCGCACAAGUA
rnacentral:rRNA from 1 species